rnacentral:rRNA from 1 species
CUAAUACAUGCAAGUCGAACGCUUUGUGGUUCAACUGAUUUGAAGAGCUUGCUCAGAUAUGACGAUGGACAUUGCAAAGAGUGGCGAACGGGUGAGUAACACGUGGGAAACCUACCUCUUAGCAGGGGAUAACAUUUGGAAACAGAUGCUAAUACCGUAUAACAAUGACAACCGCAUGGUUGUUAUUUAAAAGAUGGUUCUGCUAUCACUAAGAGAUGGUCCCGCGGUGCAUUAGCUAGUUGGUAAGGUAAUGGCUUACCAAGGCGAUGAUGCAUAGCCGAGUUGAGAGACUGAUCGGCCACAAUGGGACUGAGACACGGCCCAUACUCCUACGGGAGGCAGCAGUAGGGAAUCUUCCACAAUGGGCGAAAGCCUGAUGGAGCAACGCCGCGUGUGUGAUGAAGGGUUUCGGCUCGUAAAACACUGUUGUAAGAGAAGAAUGACAUUGAGAGUAACUGUUCAAUGUGUGACGGUAUCUUACCAGAAAGGAACGGCUAAAUACGUGCCAGCAGCCGCGGUAAUACGUAUGUUCCAAGCGUUAUCCGGAUUUAUUGGGCGUAAAGCGAGCGCAGACGGUUAUUUAAGUCUGAAGUGAAAGCCCUCAGCUCAACUGAGGAAUUGCUUUGGAAACUGGAUGACUUGAGUGCAGUAGAGGAAAGUGGAACUCCAUGUGUAGCGGUGAAAUGCGUAGAUAUAUGGAAGAACACCAGUGGCGAAGGCGGCUUUCUGGACUGUAACUGACGUUGAGGCUCGAAAGUGUGGGUAGCAAACAGGAUUAGAUACCCUGGUAGUCCACACCGUAAACGAUGAGUGCUAGGUGUUUGAGGGUUUCCGCCCUUAAGUGCCGCAGCUAACGCAUUAAGCACUCCGCCUGG